ensembl:misc_RNA Metazoa_SRP Metazoan signal recognition particle RNA
GCUGGGCAUGGCGGCUCAUGCCUGUAAUCCCAGCACUUUUGGAGGCCGAGGCAGGUGGAUUGCUUGAGCCCAGGAGUUCCAGACAAGCCUGGGCAACACAGCAAAACCCUGUCUCUA